AACGAACGCUGGCGGCAGGCUUAACACAUGCAAGUCGAGCGCCCCGCAAGGGGAGCGGCAGACGGGUGAGUAACGCGUGGGAAGCUACCCAUCUCUACGGAAUAACGCAUGGAAACGUGUGCUAAGACCGUAUACGUCCUUCGGGAGAAAGGUUUAUCGGAGCUGGAUGAGCCCGCGUGGGAUUAGCUAGUUGGUGGGGUAAAGGCCUACCAAGGCGACGAUCCAUAGCUGGUCUGAGAGGAUGAUCAGCCACACUGGGACUGAGACACGGCCCAGACUCCUACGGGAGGCAGCAGUGGGGAAUAUUGGACAAUGGGCGCAAGCCUGAUCCAGCCAUGCCGCGUGAGUGAUGAAGGCCCUAGGGUUGUAAAGCUCUUUCACCGGUGAAGAUAAUGACCGUAACCGGAGAAGAAGCCCCGGCUAACUUCGUGCCAGCCGCCGCGGUAACAC
rnacentral:rRNA from 1 species